rnacentral:sRNA from 1 species
GCCAGGUGCAGGGUUGCUCACCUGUAAUCCCAGUGGCUCAGGAGGCUGAGGCAGGAGGAUCACAAGAUUAAAGCCAGCCUCAGCAAUUUAGCAAGGCCCUAAGCAACUCCGUGAGAGCCUGUCUCUA